rnacentral:lncRNA from 1 species
CCAGGGAUGAUGGAGAUGGAGCAGAAGGCAUGUCAGUGGCUGCUCUCAGGGUAGGAGGUGUGCAGAAUGUGAUGGCAUUGAGUGACUUCCAGAGUCCUGAUCUCAAGAGGCCCUGCAGUAUGCACCUUUGCCCUUUUGCUUCUCUGUCCUGAGACCAUGAUGGAAGGAAGUCAGUCUAACUUGCUGGAAGAUGAGAGGCCGCAUGGAGGAAAGCCAAGACCCCCAGCCCACUGCCAGCACCAACUGCCAGAUACUUGUCUGGGUGGAAUCAGGACCUCCUGCAUUCUAGGCAAGUGCUACACCACUGGGGUGCCUUAUCAUCUCCCCACAGUGCCACAUCUUGAUUUGACCUGCAUUUCCAAAUCA